AUUGACAGAUUGAAAGCUCUUUCUAGAUUCUAUGGGUGGUGGUGCAUGGCCGUUCUUAGUUCGUGGGUGAUUUGUCUGGUUAAUUCCGAUAACGAACGAGACCUUAUUCUACUAAAUAGACAGGCCAACUUUUUAGUUGGUUAAUGGAAUUUAUUCCAUCUGGCUUCUUAGAGAGACUAU
rnacentral:rRNA from 1 species